AGUCGAACGGGAACCUUUUAUUGAAGCUUCGGCAGAUUUAGAUUGUUUCUAGUGGCGGACGGGUGAGUAACGCGUGGGUAACCUGCCUUAUACAGGGGGAUAACAGUCAGAAAUGACUGCUAAUACCGCAUAAGCGCACAGAGCUGCAUGGCUCGGUGUGAAAAACUCCGGUGGUAUGAGAUGGACCCGCGUUGGAUUAGCUAGUUGGUGAGGUAACGGCCCACCAAGGCGACGAUCCAUAGCCGGCCUGAGAGGGUGAACGGCCACAUUGGGACUGAGACACGGCCCAGACUCCUACGGGAGGCAGCAGUGGGGAAUAUUGCACAAUGGGGGAAACCCUGAUGCAGCGACGCCGCGUGAAGGAAGAAGUAUCUCGGUAUGUAAACUUCUAUCAGCAGGGAAGAAAAUGACGGUACCUGACUAAGAAGCCCCGGCUAACUACGUGCCAGCAGCCGCGGUAAUACGUAGGGGGCAAGCGUUAUCCGGAUUUACUGGGUGUAAAGGGAGCGUAGACGGAUGGACAAGUCUGAUGUGAAAGGCUGGGGCUCAACCCCGGGACUGCAUUGGAAACUGCCCGUCUUGAGUGCCGGAGAGGUAAGCGGAAUUCCUAGUGUAGCGGUGAAAUGCGUAGAUAUUAGGAGGAACACCAGUGGCGAAGGCGGCUUACUGGACGGUAACUGACGUUGAGGCUCGAAAGCGUGNGGAGCAAACAGGAUUANAUACCCUGGUAGUCCACGCGGUAAACGAUGAAUGCUA
rnacentral:rRNA from 1 species